GACGGAGGAUGCAAGUGUUAUCCGGAAUCACUGGGCGUAAAGCGUCUGUAGGUGGUUUAAUAAGUCUGUUGUUAAAUCUUGAGGCUUAACCUCAAACAAGCAAUAGAAACUGUUAAGACUAGAAUGUGGUAGAGAUAAAGGGAAUUUCCAGUGGAGCGGUGAAAUGCGUAGAGAUUGGAAAGACCACCAAUGGCGAAGGCACUUUAUUGGGCCAUUAUUGACACUGAGAGACGAAAGCUAGGGGA
rnacentral:rRNA from 1 species